rnacentral:lncRNA from 1 species
AUGAAGCUCACGGUGCAUCCCAUCCAGACAGGUUCAGGAGUGUGUGUAUACGCCGACGUUUGUGUUUCUGCACUUGUGACGCUGCAUAUCUCAGGGAUGAGGCCAUCCAAGGGGAACUUCAGGAAAAAUGACACAGAGGCUGAUAAAUGUGUUUGCUGUGGCACCAGGCAAAGCAAGCCUGACUGUCGCCCGCCUGCUUUUUCUCAGCAAACUGAAUGUUGUUAUCAUACAUCCCUGCUGUUAGAGUACAGCAGGGACGGUGCAGAUUAAAUAUAUACAGAAAGUAAAAGACGCUCACAUGCAUCUAAGGCAUAAUGCAUUCCAAAUUGCACUCAAAAUGAACAUUUUGUCAUCAUUUUCUCACCGUUAUGUUAUUAUAUUGAACUUAAAGCAAAAAUUCAGUUAUAAACUUGUGGAUUUAGACAUGUCAUGGGUAGGUUUGACGUCACUGACAGCAAUUUUCAUUUUGCAUGUCACACAGAGAAAGUGAACAAUGACAAUUUUUCAUACUGAAUGGCUAUGAAAGACUUGAAAUAUUGUGCAUGGUUCAUAUGAACUACAUUUGUUAUACUUUAAUGUUGCUUUUUUCCCUUUUGGAAAUAUACAAUACCGUGAAAAAGAUUGAGGUUAGUUAAUUGUUUUAAAGAAAUUAAUGCUUCUAUUCAGGAAUGACAAAUUAGAUUGGUCAAAUGUAAUAGUAAAAAAUAUUUGUAAUGUUACAAAAGUUUAUUUCAAAUAAAUGCACCUCUAUUGAACUUUCUAUUCAUCAAUGAUUUGAACAGAAAGUAAUAAGAAAUAUUUCUCGAGCAGUAAAUCAGCAUAUUAGAAUAAUUUCUGAAGGAUCAUGUGACACUGAAGACUGGAGUGAUGACGCUGAAAAUUCAGCUUUGCAUCACAAGAAUAAAUUACAUUUUAAAAUAUAUUCAAAUAGAAAAUAACUAUAUUAAAUUGUAAUAAUAUUUCACAAAAUUACAGAUUUUAUUAUUUUGUUUUGACCAAAUAAAUGCAGCCUUGGUGAGACAUUUACUGUAAAUCAGCAUCUAAUUUCAUUGUUAAUAGAAAAGAACAUCUCAGACAUUUUUACGAACAUCUCGUGUCAUAGAAGAAAAAAUAGAUUACGGGGUUGGAGUGACAUGAGAAUGAAUGAAAUUUAAAUUUUUGUGUGAACUAACCUAUUAAUUGAUGAAAUGUUAUAGUAUAUUCUACCGCCUAGAAGUGGUACAAAUGCAUGUGCAACACUCUCUUUUUAGUUUAUUCUACAAACUACCUCUUACAUGUGAUUAAACAACCAUUUUAUGAUAGAAAUAUACAAUUAGAUAUCAGCAUUGCAUGUUUCCAUGUCUCCCACAUCUGUCUCAUAAAUCGAGAGUAAACUAUGACUUCCUGAGCUGAAAUACCUCUCCUGUGAUGCUUCAUGGCUGAAGUCAGAAUGAGGUCACUGUCGCUUUAAGAAGCAUCCUGCUGGAGAGCUUGCUCUUUGACUUCUGUGAGUGCCGCUCAGAUGCUGCUGAUGUGCACAGAAAGCGGACAGGAAUCUGAAAGAGUUCAGAUGUGAGAGGAACAUCACUGAAUCACUGAUUCACACAUGGCUGGAUCAUCUAACAUUAUUGUAUGAAGAUUAACUUUAUUUGUAAGGUGAGUGUUUGGCAGAUAUUUUUCUUUUAGUUUCACUGCCUCGUUCAAGCCAGUGAAGAGUUUAAAGUGCAUUAAGAUACGAACGUCUGAUUCCACUACUUUAAACAUUGAUAUUUUACAUCUUUUGAUAACUUAAAAUAACAUUUCACAUUAUAAAUUACUUUGUCAAUAUAAUAUUACUUCAGUAAAACAAGCAGAAUGGCUUAGUAUUGGCUUUAAUGACUCCAACAUGAUCUGAGAUGAUCCAAAGAGCAUCUUGAGCUUCAGUAGAACAACAUCUGACCAUGUCUACAAGAAGUCACAUGAUCAAUCAUUAGUGACCUAAUUUGUUUAUUAGUGAAGAUUUUUUCUUCUAUAUUUAGAUCAUAACUGUCCUCAAAGUUUUUCAAAACCCUAAAACAUUAUGUCUAUGUCCAGGUUUAAAUAAAAAUCAGAUUUUUAGACCAGAGUGUAUAUUUCUGAAUCAGUUAAAAACUCUUGCAUAAAAGAGCAGUGAAUCUCUUAAAUGUCUCUGUAAUUGUUUUAUAGUUAUAUGAUUUUAUGUACUGAUUUUCUGUGAGUGCAUUGAUCUUCAAGGGAAAAGUAAAAUCAAAGACCGAAUUCAACAAAUAGACAAAAAGUUCACUGAACUUCCGUUUCACUUUAAAGUUGGCUUUGCUAGUGAUGGACAUUUGAUAGCACUCAGCAUUGUUCAAUACAAAUGGAAACACGAACCUGUAUUAGCUGGAUGCAAUUGUGCAGCACUGGCUUAUUAAGACCAGUAAAAAAAAAAAAAAACUGAGUAAACAUGCUCUCUGUGAUACUUUGUGGCCAGGCAGACAUUUUCUAUUUUUACUGCAUCCAGCACAAAGCAUGAGUGUUUUUGAGUGACAGCUGUGUGUCAUGAUAAAGAAAUGGCUGAUACCAGAUGUUUUGACCAGUAGAAAUGUCAACUGCUAACAGACCGAUUAGUUUGGAUAUUGAAUUCAAAAGGGGUGAAAUAUUUAAGGACCUUCAUGUUGUUCCAAAUCCAAUACCAAUAUGCACCUUUAUUCCAAUAUGCACAAAUAAUGUCAAUGACUUAAUUCACUCUGUUCCUCACAAAAAUGUGUUGUAUGAUGCUGAGAAGUCUUCAACAAUAGCAUGAAAGUCAUACAGACUAAUUUUAUAAAGCUUUUAUAUAAUUUUCAAGAAACUGAAUAAUAAAAAUACCUUAAAAUUAUAUACAUACAUACACAAACAUAUAUAUAUUUUUUUUCUUUAAGAAAAUAACAUGCACUGGAAAAGAGUUCUGAAGAUUUUUUUUUUUUUUUAAUCUUCCACAGCAGUAUUGUUAUUAUUAACUAAAGCUAAAAUAAAAAGUAAAAUACUAAAAACAUUUGUUAAUUAACAUUAGCAGAAGUUAAAAAAAAACUUACUUUAAGCUAAAUUUUGUUUAGUUUAAUCACUAAAAAUUACUAAAACUAUAACAGAAGUUUAAAACAAAAUAAAACUAAAUAGACAUUUAAUAAAAAAUUAACAACAAAAUAAA